rnacentral:misc_RNA from 1 species
UUAAGUUCAGCGGGUUUUCUUGCCCGAUUUCAGACCAAGUUAUCAAAGAUUUCACCCAAGGGCGAAACAUUUGUUAAGAAAUGGGGUAUAUGCUUCCGUCCAACCCCAAGAGCUGUCAAAGCGAAAUAGAAAAAUCUGUUGCACUUUGGUAACCCAAGGAAUAUUCGAUGGAUGCACACACUAUCAUUUUGAGACGAUUG